GUCUGCAACUAUGGAGCAGGACUGAGGAUUCUGAUGGUGACCUCUACGGAUGCCUCCAACAGUGGAACGGUUCCUUGUCUAGACAAUGUGGUGAUACACCUGUCUACUGUGAGAAAAUAGUGACUCUGCAGAGUGAAAUUCCCACAAAAAUGGUCCUGGCACUACCACAUCUGGACAGUGAGGCAAUCAUCACAGCAGAGUCCUCCCAAUAUGAGGAAUUACAGCAGCAGUACAUGGACUUGCUGCAGAUAAAGAAUGAACUAGAAGAAAGCUGUAUAAAGAAAGAUAAGCUUCUCCGUGAUGUACAACAAGCCUUAGCAGAAGAGCAGGCCAAAAGAGAGGCAGCUGAGAAGGAAAAGCAGCUUCUUGAGGAAAGGUGUAAACAGCUGCAGAAAAGGGUAGAGCUUCUAGAAAAAUGUUUCAAGGAAUCUAUGAUCCAAAUGAAAGAGCAGAUAAAGAGAGAAAGAGAAGUCCUUCUGAAAGAGCAGAAUAAGAGGAUUGAGAGGCUUGAGGCCCAAAUGAAAAACAUGGCUAAUAAUCAGAAAAGCACUAAAAACUACCCCACUCUAAUGGUAAUGGCAGAUGACAGUGAAGAAGAUAUUCCGCAGCCUUCAUGUUGGUCUAAAAUUUGUGAGCUGAUACAAGAGUUGUGGUCACUAAUUGUCAAGUUUUUCUCUUGUGGAUAAUUUCAGAUACCUGUGCACAGUAUUUGGACU
rnacentral:lncRNA from 12 species